CAGGACAAGGGUUAAGUUUAGUUAAAGGUUUCAUUUACAUUGAAAUUAACUCUGUGCAAUUCAGGGUGUUCUGA
rnacentral:tRNA from 1 species